UUAUGAGUUGUCAAUAGGAAUACUGCAGACGUACUAGGUACAUCCGAGGUCGUUAACGACCAUUUUUUGUUGGACGUACCUGGUACAUCCGCAGUUGCGAAGGGGUUAAACAAAGCUUUAUUUUCAACAACAAAAAUGACUCUUAAAGGGACACUAUAGUCACCAGAUCCACUACAGCUUAAUGUAGUGAUUCUGAUGUCUAUAGCCUGUCCCUGAAGAUUUUUCGAUGUAAACACUGCCUGAAUUUUUCUUAGCAAU